CCUGUUGCCCCUCUGCCUUUGGGAUUUCGUAUGUGAAGCGACUUCUGUAAGCAAGGAGCAAUCAUUUUGAGAUUGAUAUGAAAUUAAAAAGCUACACCUAGAAGAAAGCAUUGUGGAGGCCACAAGAAGGUUUGUAGACCUCAUCAAUGUAUACUUUACAGAGAAAUUCAACAUCGUCCUUGGAACAAAAAAGACCACACUCUUUUUCUAAACUGCUUCCAGGUGGUGUUAAUGCUGCUGGUUCUUGAACCACACUUUCAGCAACAAGCACAUACGCUAAAGUGGACAUACAAACUGUCAGAAUUAGAACUGAUGCUGCAGGAUGGGAUACGGAGACCAAGCUAUCGUUACAC
rnacentral:lncRNA from 1 species